rnacentral:rRNA from 1 species
GAUGAACGCUAGCGGCAGGCUUAAUACAUGCAAGUCGAGGGGUAGCAAGAUUGUAGCAAUACAAUUGAUGGCGACCGGCAAACGGGUGCGGAGCACGUACACAACCUUCCUAUAAGUGGGGAAUAGCCCAGAGAAAUUUGGAUUAAUACCCCGUAACAUAAUGAUGUGGCAUCACAUUAUUAUUAUAGCUUCGGCGCUUAUUGAUGGGUGUGCGGCUGAUUAGAUAGUUGGCGGGGUAACGGCCCACCAAGUCUACGAUCAGUAGCUGAUGUGAGAGCAUGAUCAGCCACACGGGCACUGAGACACGGGCCCGACUCCUACGGGAGGCAGCAGUAAGGAAUAUUGGUCAAUGGACGCAAGUCUGAACCAGCCAUGCCGCGUGAAGGAUUAAGGUCCUCUGGAUUGUAAACUUCUUUUAUCUGGGACGAAAAAAGGCUAUUCUUAGUCACUUGACGGUACCAGAUGAAUAAGCACCGGCUAACUCCGUGCCAGCAGCCGCCGCGGUAA